AACGAUAGCUAAUACCGCAUAACAAUGGAUGACACAUGUCAUUUAUUUGAAAGGGGCAAUUGCUCCACUACAAGAUGGACCUGCGUUGUAUUAGCUAGUAGGUGAGGUAACGGCUCACCUAGGCGACGAUACAUAGCCGACCUGAGAGGGUGAUCGGCCACACUGGGACUGAGACACGGCCCAGACUCCUACGGGAGGCAGCAGUAGGGAAUCUUCGGCAAUGGGGGCAACCCUGACCGAGCAACGCCGCGUGAGUGAAGAAGGUUUUCGGAUCGUAGAGCUCUGUUGUAAGUCAAGAACGAGUGUGAGAGUGGAAAGUUCACACUGUGACGGUAGCUUACCAGAAAGGGACGGCUAACUACGUGCCAGCAGCCGCGGUAAUACGUAGGUCCCGAGCGUUGUCCGGAUUUAUUGGGCGUAAAGCGAGCGCAGGCGGUUUGAUAAGUCUGAAGUUAAAGGCUGUGGCUCAACCAUAGUUCGCUUUGGAAACUGUCAAACUUGAGUGCAGAAGGGGAGAGUGGAAUUCCAUGUGUAGCGGAGAAAUGCGUAGAUAUAUGGAGGAACACCGGUGGCGAAAGC
rnacentral:rRNA from 1 species